GACGAACGCUGGCGGCGUGCCUAAUACAUGCAAGUCGAACGAACCGCGACUAAGUGCUUGCACUAAGUCAAGGUGAGUGGCGAACGGGUGAGUAACACGUGGGUAACCUACCUCAUAGUGGGGGAUAACAGUCGGAAACGACUGCUAAUACCGCAUAGGACAUAGGAUCACAUGAUCCAGUGAGGAAAGGGGGCGCAAGCUAUCGCUAAGAGAUGGACCCUCGGUGCAUUAGCUAGUUGGUAGGGUAAAGGCCUACCAAGGCGAUGAUGCAUAGCCGACCUGAGAGGGUGAUCGGCCACAUUGGGACUGAGACACGGCCCAAACUCCUACGGGAGGCAGCAGUAGGGAAUCUUCCGCAAUGGACGCAAGUCUGACGGAGCAACGCCGCGUGAGUGAAGAAGGUCUUCGGAUCGUAAAGCUCUGUUGUUAGAGAAGAACAGCGCAUAGAGUAACCGCUAUGCGUGUGACGGUAUCUAGCCAGAAAGCCACGGCUAACUACGUG
rnacentral:rRNA from 1 species